rnacentral:rRNA from 1 species
AUGAACGCUAGCUACAGGCUUAACACAUGCAAGUCGAGGGGCAGCAUGGUCUUAGCUUGCUAAGGCCGAUGGCGACCGGCGCACGGGUGAGUAACACGUAUCCAACCUGCCGUCUACUCUUGGACAGCCUUCUGAAAGGAAGAUUAAUACAAGAUGGCAUCAUGAGUCCGCAUGUUCACAUGAUUAAAGGUAUUCCGGUAGACGAUGGGGAUGCGUUCCAUUAGAUAGUAGGCGGGGUAACGGCCCACCUAGUCUUCGAUGGAUAGGGGUUCUGAGAGGAAGGUCCCCCACAUUGGAACUGAGACACGGUCCAAACUCCUACGGGAGGCAGCAGUGAGGAAUAUUGGUCAAUGGGCGAGAGCCUGAACCAGCCAAGUAGCGUGAAGGAUGACUGCCCUAUGGGUUGUAAACUUCUUUUAUAAAGGAAUAAAGUCGGGUAUGGAUACCCGUUUGCAUGUACUUUAUGAAUAAGGAUCGGCUAACUCCGUGCCAGCAGCCGCGGUAAUACGGAGGAUCCGAGCGUUAUCCGGAUUUAUUGGGUUUAAAGGGAGCGUAGAUGGAUGUUUAAGUCAGUUGUGAAAGUUUGCGGCUCAACCGUAAAAUUGCAGUUGAUACUGGAUAUCUUGAGUGCAGUUGAGGCAGGCGGAAUUCGUGGUGUAGCGGUGAAAUGCUUAGAUAUCACGAAGAACUCCGAUUGCGAAGGCAGCCUGCUAAGCUGCAACUGACAUUGAGGCUCGAAAGUGUGGGUAUCAAACAGGAUUAGAUACCCUGGUAGUCCACACGGUAAACGAUGAAUACUCGCUGUUUGCGAUAUACUGCAAGCGGCCAAGCGAAAGCGUUAAGUAUUCCACCUGGGGAGUACGCCGGCAACGGUGAAACUCAAAGGAAUUGACGGGGGCCCGCACAAGCGGAGGAACAUGUGGUUUAAUUCGAUGAUACGCGAGGAACCUUACCCGGGCUUAAAUUGCAGAUGAAUUACGGUGAAAGCAGUAAGCCGCAAGGCAUCUGUGAAGGUGCUGCAUGGUUGUCGUCAGCUCGUGCCGUGAGGUGUCGGCUUAAGUGCCAUAACGAGCGCAACCCUUGUUGUCAGUUACUAACAGGUUCUGCUGAGGACUCUGACAAGACUGCCAUCGUAAGAUGUGAGGAAGGUGGGGAUGACGUCAAAUCAGCACGGCCCUUACGUCCGGGGCUACACACGUGUUACAAUGGGGGGUACAGAGGGCCGCUACCACGCGAGUGGAUGCCAAUCCCAAAAACCUCUCUCAGUUCGGACUGGAGUCUGCAACCCGACUCCACGAAGCUGGAUUCGCUAGUAAUCGCGCAUCAGCCACGGCGCGGUGAAUACGUUCCCGGGCCUUGUACACACCGCCCGUCAAGCCAUGGGAGCCGGGGGUACCUGAAGUGCGUAACCGCGAGGAGCGCCCUAGGGUAAAACUGGUGACUGGGGCU